rnacentral:rRNA from 1 species
AGAGUUUGAUCCUGGCUCAGGAUGAACGCUAGCUACAGGCUUAACACAUGCAAGUCGAGGGGAAACGACAUCGAAAGCUUGCUUUUGAUGGGCGUCGACCGGCGCACGGGUGAGUAACGCGUAUCCAACCUGCCCACCACUUGGGGAUAACCUUGCGAAAGUAAGACUAAUACCCAAUGACGUCUCUAGAAGACAUCUGAAAGAGAUUAAAGAUUUAUCGGUGAUGGAUGGGGAUGCGUCUGAUUAGCUUGUUGGCGGGGUAACGCCACCAAGGCGACGAUCAGUAGGGGUUCUGAGAGGAAGGUCCCCCANAUUGGAACUGAGACACGGUCAAACUCUACGGGAGCA